GAAUCGAAGUGGCGAGAUCCACAACCUACCAUCAAGAGAAAUCAAGAGAGAACUCUCAACCUCACCUCUCAAGAAAGAAAGACCAAAAUCUGCUUCUGGAUACGCAGCCAACACCGGAGUCGGAAGUAGACGAAGAAGA
rnacentral:rRNA from 1 species